GUGCUUGCUUCGGCAGCACAUAUACUAAAAUUGGAACGAUACAGAAAAGAUUAGCAUGGCUUCUGCGCAAGGAUGACACACAAAUUUGUGAAGCAUUCCAUGUUAAA
rnacentral:snRNA from 1 species